AUCCCGUCCUGCCGGCCUGCUCUUCAGUUGGCAUGGAUUUGAAAUUACUCCUUUCCUCCCGAUUGAAUUCUGUACCACAUGCUCUCCAGUCCUUCCUAAUGAGGUGGAGCCCUUUGUUUAUGGACAUCUGUCCAUUUCCUUUUUCUCGAAGAUGCUACCAGAUAAAUAGCUCCGGAGUUAAAAUACUGUUGCAAACACGAAGAUUUAACACCCACAGAUAAAAAAGUAAGGCUUUUUUCAGACAUUGGUAUAAUAAACCUUGCCGUAAGAGUCCUCCUGCUUCUAGAUUUAAUAGCUUUACACACUCCUAUUUACAAUUUCUCCACACCAAACAGAAAUAAUACUGUUGUGUGUGCCAUAAACAGUGUUGCUGCAGGUCUGUUUUAUGUAGCACCAUUGUUUUUAUAAUCUCAAUGUUUGGAAAUUUCAGUCAAAUGGCAAAAAAAAAAAUGCUAUCCCCCUGUUUUUCUCAGUCUUAAAAAUAUACACCUCAUUGAGAAGAAAAUGUUUUCCUUCAGACAAAAGAGAGUGGUGAUUCAGCUGUAGGCAAUACAGAGCAAUGUCACAUUCUUCUCUCAGUCAAAUUUAUCUCUCUUCUAUUUGAGAUCCAGUAAAAGGGCUCCUAUAGUGGUCCUAAACCCAUUUUGAGGUCUCAGCUUUCUCAAUAAAUAUGUCAAAACCAGAGGUCUUUCAAAGAAGCUGCUGGGAACACAGAGGCCCUUCCUGCACGGCCAGUCUGACGAGGUCCUGGGUCUCCAUUCCAAACCGGCUUCGUGUGGACACACACAGCUUCCAAGCAGAGAAGCAUCUCGUGUGCUUUCCUGGAAACAACACUUCCAGAAAAUAUGCUGACCAAGAAGAAACAGCAGGGGUGACAGAAGUGGUCAGAGCGCUCGCAACAUCUUAACAAG
ensembl:lncRNA